GAGAAGCCUGGGGACUGGACUCCUGACCGCGGAGUUUGGGCUCCAGGAUGGAAGAUGGAUGGAAGGUGGAUGGAAGGACCAGGACGGCCUCCUGGAUUUCAGUGAGGAUCUGAGCUACUGGACCAUGGACAUUUUCCUGGACACCUAAGGAGGCCGCUACCACACCUCCUCUGUGAAAGCAUGGUCCGCUUUGGAGAGCUCAGUCUUCUCGCGUCUGCGAGGCUUGCCAGAGUGGGAAGGCAGACGAUCUCCCAGAAGAACUUGAGCAGCUUCUGAAAUGCCUUCUGAUUUGGGAAGUAUUUUCCUGGAACUUGCCCUCGUGGGAGUGAACCCUGGCAUGCUUAAAAAUCAUCUGAUUUUCUGACUCACUCUCCCAGUGGCCUCUACCAAGGCUCCACUGAACACUCAAUACGCACAGGAGCAGACCAU